rnacentral:rRNA from 1 species
GUGGGGAAUUUUGCACAAUGGGGGAAACCCUGAUGCAGCAACGCCGCGUGGAGGAUGAAGUCCCUUGGGACGUAAACUCCUUUCGACCGGGACGAUAAUGACGGUACCGGUGGAAGAAGCCCCGGCUAACUCCGUGCCAGCAGCCGCGGUAAUACGGGGGGGGCAAGCGUUGUUCGGAAUCAUUGGGCGUAAAGGGCGCGUAGGCGGUGCGGUAAGUCUUCUGUGAAACCCCUGGGCUCAACCCAGGGCCUGCAGGGGAAACUGCCGUGCUGGAGUGUGGGAGAGGUGCGUGGAAUUCCCGGUGUAGCGGUGAAAUGCGUAGAGAUCGGGAGGAACACCUGCGGCGAAGGCGGCGCACUGGACCACUACUGACGCUGAGAGCGCGAAAGCUAGGGGAGCAAACAGGAUUAGAUACCCUUGUAGUCC